UACGUAGGGCGCAAGCGUUGUCCGGAAUUAUUGGGCGUAAAGAGCUCGUAGGCGGCUUGUCACGUCUGCUGUGAAAUCCCGGGGCUUAACCCCGGGCGUGCAGUGGAUACGGGCUGGCUAGAGGCAGGCAGGGGAGAACGGAAUUCCCGGUGUAGCGGUGAAAUGCGCAGAUAUCGGGAGGAACACCGGUGGCGAAGGCGGUUCUCUGGACAGUUCCUGACACUGAGACACGAAGGCCAGGGGAGCAAACGGG
rnacentral:rRNA from 1 species